UAUUUAUAUAAUAUAUUUAGUAUAUUUGACUUCCAAUCAAAAAGUUUAAUAAUUUUUAAUAUAAAUA
rnacentral:tRNA from 3 species